rnacentral:rRNA from 1 species
GACGAACGCUGGCGGCGUGCUUAACACAUGCAAGUCGAACGGACAGACAGAGAGCUGCUCUCUUGAAGUUAGUGGCGAACGGGUGAGUAACGCGUAAUCAACCUGCCCUUCAGAGGGGGAUAACAACGGGAAACAGUUGCUAAUACCGCGUACGAUUAAUGAACGGCAUCGUUUAUGAAUGAAAGGUGGCCUCUAUGUAUAAGCUAUCGCUGACGGAGGGGAUUGCGUCUGAUUAGCUAGUUGGAGGGGUAACGGCCAACCAAGGCAAUGAUCAGUAGCCGGUCUGAGAGGAUGAACGGCCACAUUGGGACUGAGACACGGCCCAAACUCCCACGAGAGGCAGCAGUGGGGAAUCUUCCGCAAUGGACGAAAGUCUGACGGAGCAACGCCGCGUGAGUGAUGAAGGUCUUCGGAUUGUAAAGCUCUGUUAAUCGGGACGAAAGAGUUCUGCGUGAAUAAUGCAGAAAAGUGACGGUACCGGAAUAGAAAGCCACGGCUAACUACGUGCCAGCCGCCGCAGUAA